rnacentral:lncRNA from 1 species
UGUAGGGUCGGAGCCACGUGACAGGUGAACUUUGACGCACACGGCUCCGCCCUCUUUGAUGUAAUUAAUUACGACGAACGUGCAUUGUAGAGGAGGACUUGUUAGCACGUGACACGAGUCUUGUUGUUGCGGCUUGACAACGUCAUAUUCACCAGCCUCUCUAUGAAUUCUUUUAUUCUUGAGAAUGACGUUGUCCGAAUGACGCACAGAGUCUGGUGACGAAGUGCACGAGAAGAUUUGUGGUGAGGUCAGCAGACAGUCGUCUGCAGCAAUGAAGACUAAACUGCGAUUUCCUGUUUUAAUCCCCUGCAUCGUACUUCUUGUUCUUACCUGGAAUGUGUUUAGAAGACGCCAUCAUCUUCUGGAGCUCACCUUUCCUAGCCUUGUGAACAGCAGCAAGAGCAUCCAGUCGAGAGGAACAGCCCACGACCAUGAUUCUUCGACAACCUUGUACCCGACAACUUCCAUCCAUCAUAUGUCCUCAAAGCCCGAAGAUACAUCUCUAAGCAAGAGAAAUUCGCAUUUCGGAGCUCCGGGAAAAGCCUAGCAUCGCAUGUCUGUGGGCGACACUACAGUAGACAACUGACUGCUGGAGCUGAAGGAAGGCGACACUGCAUGGCAUCGCGUUGCUUGACUCUGUGCGUCAUUCGGACGUCAUUCUCAAGAAUAAAAGACGUCACAGAGAGGCUGGUGAAUAUGACGUUGUCAAGCCGCAACAACAAGACUCGUGUCACGUGCUCACAAGUCCUCCUCUGCAAUGCACGUUCGUCGUAAUUAAAUACAUCAAAGAGGGCGGAGCCGUGUGCGUCAAAGUUCACCUGUCACGUGGCUCCGACCCUGCACUGCACGUGCGUCAUAUUAAAGUCCCGCGAGCUGUUCAGAUAAACUACAUUCACGAUGUACAGCAAUGGCAGAGUAUUGCGACAGCAAAGGGUUGAUCCGAUAUAGAAUCUUGACGGGUCCGUUGUAACGUUUCGUCACAAUCGUCGACAUCUGGUAUGGCGUGAGGUUCAGUGCCGGCGCCUGCCCCACGUUCUCCAGGUGAACCUUGUGCCAGUACCA